rnacentral:rRNA from 1 species
AGGUCCCAAGCGUUGUUCGGAUUCACUGGGCGUAAAGGGUGCGUAGGUGGUGAGGUAAGUCGGAUGUGAAAUCUCCGGGCUCAACCCGGAAAUGGCAUUGGAAACUACCUUGCUGGAGGAUUUGAGGGGGGAUUGGAAUACUUGGUGUAGCAGUGAAAUGCGUAGAUAUCAAGUGGAACACCAGUGGCGAAGGCGAAUCCCUGGAAAAUACCUGACACUGAGGCACGAAAGCUAGGGGAGCAAACAGG